GUUUUUGUUUUCAGCUAAAAAUAUUUUUCUCCUACUUUGCUUGUUUUACAAAGUCGAGGAAAAAAUGCCUUUCUUGUGGAUGCUGCAAUACGCUAUAAACGAAGAGUAAUUUCUUCAGGUAAGAUGUAUUUUUUUAAAAACUUUUCAGACGGCUAAAAAAUUUGUGUGUAUGAAAUUUUGCUUUUGUUUCAAGCUCUGGCUUUUGUGUUUUUACUCUCGGUUUUUAUUGCCAGUUACAGUAGUUUUAAAUAUUCUGUGUCCUUCUGUAUAUACUAUUUAUUAAAACCCUUACACUUACAAUAAGCAUUGUAAGCAUUUAGUAAGCUCUGGAUUUUAAUAUUUUAUAUAAUAUUAAUAAAUAUGUUUCCUGUGACUAUCUUAACUUUAUAUUAUUAAACUGCUAGUCUUUGCCAGAUUUUGUAUUAAACAGCAGUUGCCUACCGUGCAAUACUGCAGUUAGUCAUGUAUAUGUGGGGUGUAGGAGGUGUGUACAACCAAUUUGUAUAUGGCACUUUUGACAGCAGCUUGAGUUGUAAUGGCCAUGGGGCAACUUUUUUGCUGCAAUAAAUCACUAUUUUGUGCAUAUACCAACUGGUCCAACUCUGCAAUACAAGCAAAUGUUUUGUUGAUACCCUCAACACAAAGACCAAGCUUGAUGGGUAAUUCCACAAUACAUUCACACCUCCCAAAAAGAGGAAUACAAGUUAACACCUUUCUCCUUCAGUUGUUUAAUAUAUGUCAUCAAACAUUUUACUAUGAUAGAGGGGUUUGUCCUGCUUCCCUCUUCAGAUGACAGCAAUAUCCUCUGUAGUCAGGAGUUUUUAAUAAUCCUCGCAAUGGGUAAUUCCAGAAAAGAUCCAUACUCCCCCCACAGAGGAAAUUUCUGCCAUCCAGAGGGGGAAGGAAGAAAAAAUUGUUUCUGAUAAUAGUGUAUUGGGACAUCCAAAGGGGGUAGGGAGUUAACUUCCUAUUUCCUCUGUGGGGGUGGUAUGGAUGUUUUCUGGAAUGACCCAAUGAUAGACUAGCUAACUACAAUAUAUAUAACAUUACUCACUUUUCUUAUUUAGGUUGAAACUUUAAUGUGGACAAGAAUGAAACACAAGGUCUUUGGAGGUUCAAAUAGCAGGAGUAGUGGUGUACUGGCCAGGACCAGUAGUACCCCCUAGUAAGAGUACCCCUAGAAGUUUCAAGAUACUGAACAGCAGAGAGCAAAUUAGUCAUAGCCAGUGG
rnacentral:lncRNA from 1 species